AGCGAGCGCAAUUGCCCCCUAUAUGCCGCGCGGAAAAUGACUCCCACGCGUUACGGGCCGCGAUCGGCCAACUAAAAAAAUUCUAUAAAAACAAAUUUAAUACUGACAAUCACCAAAUUACUUGUGCUUUUCAAUCAAUAUCUUAUCUCUAUGUGUACUAAAUUUCUUUUAAAAACAAGUUACCGAUGUUGAGUUAGAGCGUGAUUAACGGGCAGGCCACCCGGCCGGCGAGCUACGCCCGCGGCGGGCACCAUUUCCGCCGAACGCAAAAAUGCGUUCCACACUUUGACCCCGUUUCCGCCGGAUAUUCCGAGGAUUAUGGUCCAUGGAAACUUCAUGAAUGCAUUAUAGAGACUGUGGGGAGUAUUUUGGUGUGUGCCGCAAAUUUCUACGUCCAAGUUAUGAUGCCAGAGAACCUGUUGUGACUAGUGGACUUCUAUCUUCUUCUUCUUCUCUGUACUUCUUCAAACCAUACAAGUGACACAGAGGGAAGGAAUUGGACAGGCACCAUGGCCACAAAUGGAGAUAUCCUAGAGUUCUGUGGACAACACAAACGACUCAAGGUGGGAGAGAAGAUGGAACUGCUCAAGGACACAUUCACAUCCAUUGACAGUAGGGUGGAAACUAAAGUACUCUGGAGCAGUAUUUCACGCUUAGCAGGGAAAUGGAAGAAAUUGCUAAAGGAAGAAAAACACCAGGAACUGAAAUCUUACUUAGAUCAGACUUUCAAUUCCCCAAAGCAAAGCCAAACUCCACAGUCUCGAGCUCCAUGGACACAGAGAAAGAAGAAACUUGCAAAGCAUCUGGAACAAGCAGGAAUGGCCAACAAACAUUUGAAGAGGAAGCUUUGUAGUGCAGAAGAAUGGAAGAACAAUAUGCAGAGUGUGCAAACAGAGCUGGAGACAUUGAUUAGUGAAUACACGUCAGCUGUACAAGAAUGCAAUAAGAUCACUGAGGACACAGAAGAAAAAAUGAAACUGAUGAACAACAAUGAUGGUGAGCUGGAAAAGUACAUCAAGGAAUUAGAGAAUGCUUUCGAAUCUCAAUCAAAAAAGUUACAAGACGCAACAGAAAAACUGAGCAGGUGGAAUGUAAGGUACUUCAACAAAAGGGAGAAGGCAGAAAGAAAGAAGAUCUCAAUCUGUGAAGAAAAACUGAAACAUCAAGAUACACUUAAAUCAGAGAUGAUGGCAAAGAUUGAGGACUUAGAAGUCAUCUGCAAAGACCUUACACACCGAAUCACUGCUUCUACCCUCCACAAACCACACAGUAGACUGGUUGAGAAAACUGUCUGAAGAGGACAAAAAGCUCAAAAAAUUGCUCCAGGAUGCAUAAAGAAACAGAAAGAAUGAGAGCAGCACCGCCUCGAACUGCUAAGGCAGAAACAAGAUGAGAAGGAAAGAAAGUUAAGAAGGGUAUCCCAGGAGAAAUCCAAGGUUUGUGAAGCAGUAAGACAAGAAGGCGAUGAAUGGAAAACUCAAGAGGAGGUUGAGCAGAGACUCAAAGCCAUGAAUUAAUUAAUAAGAUUAUGAUUUAUUAUAUUAAUUAUUGGAAUAAUUAAUAUGCAGAUAUGCUAAUUACUUACAAAACAAGAAUCAGUAUGAUAACUAAUACUUGCUGGUCUCACUGUCAUAGAUUCCAAUUAAGAAAGGAUGCAAAGAAAUGCCACUCUUGUACUUAAGGGGAUGUGUUUUAUCAAGAAUAUUAUUUACCUAAUUAAUAUGCAAAUUAGUUAAUUUCCAAUAUUUAAAAGAAAAAUUUCUUUUGUCACCCAUGCUGUGUCAGCUGCCAAUUGUAUAUAACCUUUUCUUUAGAAUGUAGAGCAGUAUCUUAGUUAUGAAAGCUGCAGUGAAUAGGAUACCGAGAUUGAAUUAUGUAUAUUAUUGUUAUUUACAUGAUUGAUAUGCAAAACAUUAUAACACUAAUUAUCUACUAAAAUAAAAUACCUGAGAUCAUCUAUUUGUUAGCUAUAUUGUGAUAGCUGCUAGUUCAGUGGCUCUGUAGAGAUGAGCAUAAAAGAAAUUGUGUAUGUAGAUGAUGUCUAUCCAGUUUGAAGGUUUUGUCUAAUUAAUAUGCAAAUAUGCAAAUCAGUCAUUACAUAAGAAUUUAAUUGCAACUGGCACUUUAUUGACCUUGCAGUGACAGAUGUCUGCCCUGGGGUAACCUUAAUUAAGAGAGAAAUGUAGCCUGGAUGUGUAAAGGAUACUUGAAUAGUAUGUGAUAUUUACCUAAUUAGUAUGCAGACAUACUAAUUUCAAUAAUUAACAUAAUCAUUUACUAAUUCUAGACUGUCUACGUGCUGGAUUCUGUUAUACAGUUACAUCAACUUGAAUGUCUGUUUGUGUUAAGAAAAUAAAUCUAUGCUAAUGAUGCA